rnacentral:lncRNA from 1 species
AACCGACAUAUCAUAAAUCUAUUAAAAAAUAUGUUCCAAAUCCAAUCAUCAACCUGUUGAUGGCUGUGCUAUUUGAUGUAAUUGUAUAUGAAUUAAUUAAUAAAAUAUUUAUUUGAUAAUUUUUAUUAUAAGCUUGCACAUCUUCUAUAUCGAACUUCUGUGUUAUGAUGAAAGCCCUAAGGAUUAUUUUAAAUCGAUAAAAGAAGAUUUAUCAUUUAGUCUUUGAAUGAGUUUGUGACCAAAUGAUAUGCUAUUGCUAAGACGAUAGAUAUAUCAAAUGUAGGUCGUUAUGUGUCAUAUAGGUUGGUUGUCCUCUUAAUCAAAGAGAAUAGAGAUGCUGGUAUGCCAUGCAGGUGAAAUAUAGGAGUACAUUUCAUUAAAUGUGACCAACUUCGGAGUACUCUACUGUCAAAAGUCACUUCAAAGGGAUAUAGGUAUAAGUAUCCCUCCGACCUG